rnacentral:sRNA from 1 species
CCCCUCCCGAAGCUGCGCGCUCGCUCGGUCGAAGAGGACGACCAUCCCCGAUAGAGGAGGACCGUUCUUCGGUCAAGGGUAUACGAGUAGCUGCGCUCCCCUGCUAGAACCUCCAAACAAGCUCUCAAAAUAUCUUACAGAAUAAAAAAAGGAAAAUGAAGGAAAUGUCAAGG